rnacentral:rRNA from 1 species
GAUGAACGCUGGCGGCGUGCUUAACACAUGCAAGUCGAACGAAGCAUUUAGGACAGAUUACUUCGGUUUGAAGUUCUUUAUGACUGAGUGGCGGACGGGUGAGUAACGCGUGGGUAACCUGCCUUGUACUGGGGGAUAGCAGCUGGAAACGGCUGGUAAUACCGCAUAAGCGCACAAUGUUGCAUGACAUGGUGUGAAAAACUCCGGUGGUAUAAGAUGGACCCGCGUCUGAUUAGCUAGUUGGUGAGAUAACAGCCCACCAAGGCGACGAUCAGUAGCCGACCUGAGAGGGUGACCGGCCACAUUGGGACUGAGACACGGCCCAGACUCCUACGGGAGGCAGCAGUGGGGAAUAUUGCACAAUGGAGGAAACUCUGAUGCAGCGACGCCGCGUGAGUGAAGAAGUAAUUCGUUAUGUAAAGCUCUAUCAGCAGGGAAGAUAGGGACGGUACCUGACUAAGAAGCUCCGGCUAAAUACGU